rnacentral:rRNA from 1 species
UGGUGGAGUGAUUUGUCUGGUUAAUUCCGUUAACGAACGAGACCUCGACCUGCUAAAUAGUUCCAAGAACCUUUGGUUCUCUGGGUACUUCUUAGAGGGACUAUUGGUGUCUAGCCAGUGGAAGUUCGAGGCAAUAACA